rnacentral:rRNA from 1 species
UACGGAAGGCAGCAGUGGGGAAUAUUGCACAAUGGGCGAAAGCCUGAUGCAGCUAUGCCGUGUGUAUGAAGAAGGCCUUAGGGUUGUAAAGUACUUUCAUCGGGGAGGAAAAAACAAAACUAAUAAUUUUAUUUCUUGACGUUACCCGAAAAAGAAGCACCGGCUAACUCCGUGCCAGCAGCCGCGGUAAUACGGAGGGUGCUAGCGUUAAUCAGAAUUACUGGGCGUAAAGAGCACGUAGGUGGUUUUUUUAAAGUCAGAUGUGAAAUCCCUGGGCUUAACCUAGGAACUGCAUUUUGAAACUGAAAUACUAGAGUAUCGUAGAGGGAGGUAGAAUUCUAGGUGUAGCGGUGAAAUGCGUAGAUAUCUGGAGGAAUACCUGUGGCGAAAGCGGCCUCCUAAACGAAUACUGACACUGAGGUGCGAAAGCGUGGGGAGCAAACAGGGAUUAGAUACCCGU